GGCCCCUACCAGCCCGCCAAACAAGCCUCUGCGGCUCACUCGAAUCCACCCGCCCGGUAUCCUCUAACUUCUCCCAAACCUGCUUUCUCAGAUUAUGAAACUGAGGCAACUGGAGGUAGAACAACUUUUCUAAGACCACCAGCAAGUGAGUAGUGGAGCCAGAGAGGCAAUCCAAGAAGGCUGGCGGCAGACUCCCUGUUCUCAACAUUCAGUCCAGUUUCCUCCUUGCUCCACCUCCCCAGUACUGUCAUCUCCAAGACUGAAGGGUGAUCAGGCAGGCUUCUCCCUAACCCGUGCUCUCCUGUGACUUGAGGUAGGUGAAGGAGCCCAGUUCACAAUCCAACAAACCUUAAAGUGGCUCACAUUCUACUAGAGAAUUCCAGAGCCCAUUUACAAAGUCUGCAUUUUUAUUUGGUUACCUAAGUAGAGAAAGAAAAUGAAUAGGUUCACAAGGAUUAAUUUUAUUACUACCCAGCAUGAAUGAGGAGAAAGUAGGUCCCUUUGUAAACAGUAAAAACUAGAGAAAGCUUCAACAGAUAACUAUUAGAACAUAAAUAAAUGAUAAAAACGGAACUUCCUUGUUAUGUUAACAAAUGUGAGCAAAAUGUGGGAAAAUAUCUUAAAACAGAGAUUGUUUUACUUAAUUGUGAUACCUUUCCCCAAAUUAAGGGUCCUGAAACAGAAAUAUGAAUUUUAUCCUUUCUUACCUGAAGAUUUAAUUUUUUAGGAAAAAGUUGGCUUAAAGUUGCCUUUUUCUUCAUUACAAAAACAACACAUGACGUUUUUAAAAAGUUUUAAAACAGGGAGUUCCUGUCGUGGCUUAGCAGUAAGGAACCCAACUAGUGUCCAUGAGGAUGCGGGUUUGAUCCCUGGCCUCACUUAUUGGGUCAAGGAUCUGGUGUUACCAUGAGCUGCGAUGUACCUUGCAGUCACGGCUUGGAUCUGGCAUUGCUGUGGCUGUGGUGUAGGCAGACAGCUAUAGCUCUAACUCAUCCCCUGGCCUGGGAAUUUCCAUAUGGCACAGGUGCAGCCCUAAAAAGACAAAAUAAUUAUAAUAAUAAAAUAAAAGUUUUAAAACACAAGAGGAUAGAUAAAAUUAUAAAGUAAAAUGAGUUGUGUUGUGGAUUAAGAAUUUGACAUUGUUGGAGUUAUCUUCCUGACUCAUCAGAAAUGAAUCUGACUAGUAUCCAUGAGGAAGCAGGUUCAAUCCCUGGCCUCACUUGGUAGGUUAAGGAUCUGGCGUUGCCAUGAGCUGUGGUGUAGAUCACAGAUGCAGCUCGGAUCUGGCGUUGCUGUGGCCAACACCUACAGCUCCUAUUCAACCCCUACCCUGGGCACCUCCUUAUGUGGUGGCAGUGGCCCUAAAAAGACAGAAAAUAAUAAUAAUAAUUUCUGCUGUAUAGCAGAGUGAUUCAGUUAUACAUACAUAUACAUUCUUUUUUAUAUUCUUUUUCAUUAUGGUUUAUCUCAGGACGUUGAAUAUAGUUCACUGUGCUAUACAGUAGGACCUUGUUAUUUUUAUAGAUGCAAUAUAUGCAUAUAUACUGUUCUAUAUGUAAUACUUUGCAUGCACUAACCCUCAACUCCCAGUCCAUCCCUACCCCCUUGGCCACCACAUGUCUGUUUUCUGUGUCUGUGAGUCUGUUUCUAUUUUGUUAAUAGGUUCAUUUGUACUGUAUUUUAGAUCCACAUAUAAGUGAUAUCAUAUGGUAUUUGUCCUUCUCUUUCUGACUUCAUUUAGUAUAAGAAAAGUUCCACCAUGUUGCUGCAAAUGGCAUUAUUUCAUCCUUUUUAUGGCUAAGUAGUAUUCCAUCGUGUAUAUGUACCACAUCUUCUUUAUCCAUUCAACUGUUGAUGGACAGAUUUUUUCCAUGCAUUAACUUUUUGAGUCCAAAAUUUUGCUGGGGCUGUUUGGCUAUCAUUGAAUCCAGUGGCAUUUAAAUUGAAUGGAGACUAGGAAAAGAAAGAUACAGUAUAUACAUAUAUCAAAUCAUUACAUUGCAUGCCUUAAAAUUAUACAAUGUUAUAUGUCAAUUAUAUCUUAAUAAAACUAGAAAAAAUAAAAUUAAAGAUAAAUUUUUAAGAAGACAAGAAGGAAGGAAGGGAAGGAAGGAAGGACCUGCAAGAGGAAAGAAGCGCUUGCUAUCUUUUACAGUAGGCAUUUACACUUUACUGUUAUGCUGAAUGCACAAUUACAGGCAGAUCUGAGUAGAGGGUAAAGUAACUUCUAAAGAGAGAGUAGGAUACUCUUCUCUUUAUUGAGAGAAAUCUUUAGCUAAAGUAAAAAAUCUUUAUUUUUAUGAAGUAACAAAUACAAAAACUCAUUGGAAUACUGUCAAAGAAAGCAAAUCCAUGAAAUGGCCAGUGCCGAAAAAACAUCCUAGAAAAAAAGGUGACAUGUUAACACGGCAGCAAAGAUGAGCAGAGGAACAGCACAGCAAAUUAUUUAGUUCUAGACUGACCUUUUUCGUAUUUAGAUAUAAGUUCAGUAGGUCAUUUCAAGCCAGCUAAGAUAGUGAGAAAUCAUAUUUAUCCCAGUUAUCCCAGCUGUGGAGUGACCAUGGAAGCAAAACGAUGCUGACCUGACUUUUAGGUGUGCCCAGAGCAAAGAAUUGCGGGGGCGUGGGGAAACAAAUACCCAUCCUCAGUAAAUAAGCAUGUUAAUUAAUUUCUUAUUUUACUUCACCAUUCUAAGUUCAAAGGAUUCAUAAAAACCCAGUCAUCUGCACAGAGCAACAUGAAGUAGUAAAAAUUAUAUAGAGUUCAAAAAUAUGAAAGUUUUAGGAAAGUUAAGUUCAUACAACUCAAAAUAUAAAAGUUAAGAAGUUCCCGUCGUGGCUCAGCAGUUAACGAACCCAACCAGCAUCCAUGAAGAUGCAGGUUCGAUCCCUGGCCUCGCUCAGUGGGUUAAAUAUCUGGUGUUGCCCUGAGCUGUGAUGUAGGUCGCAGACACAGCUAGGAUUCAUAGUUGCUGUGGCUGUGGCAUAGGCUGGCGGCUACAGCUCCAAUUGGACCUCUAGCCUGGGAACCUCCAUACCGAGGGUGUGGCCCUAAAAAGACAAAAACAACAACAAGAACAAAAAUAUAUAAAAGUUAAGUUUUUCUAAUAAGAGUUAAUACCACAUUAUUCAUGUACAAUUCACUCAACUCUGAACAUAAAAUUGUAGAUGAAAUCGAAUUUUCAAAAAUAUGUUUACUGGAUUAUUUGACUCUAUUUUAUUCUGAAUACUCCAGUUCCAUUUGUAUUUAUUUACUUAUGAAGAAUUGAGGAAACCAUAUGAGUGAAAGAAAAUUUAUAGCAUAUGUUCAUCUUUAUGGAGAAAUGUAAAAUCCAUAUUAACAUCAUCAAUAUAACUAAAAUAUUAUUUCUAUAUUUACAAAACCAACAGAAAUUGCUUAUAAAUUUUUUCCUUAACUUUUGUUUUUAAGGUAUAAAGCAGCUAUUGUUCAUCAGAUACCGAUCUCUCAGACCUUUCCCUUAGUGUUUUUGAGUUCAGUGUCUAUGAGAUUCUUAGAUGCUGGGGAAAUGAUUCCCCAGAUUUGUAUUUCAAAAGUAGUUUAGUAAUUUUGUUGAAAAUGAAAAAAAGAUUACAGUCACAUUGAAACUUUCCUUUCUUGUUCUUUUAUCUAUAGCAGUGGGAAAACUAUAUGAACAUUCUGAGUGAAAAGGAUAUUUGGUAUUUUAGUAACUGUUCAACAAAUUAUUUUAAAAGUUGAGGUAGACUGUACACUUAAAAGACAGUUAAAUCGGGAGUUUCAAUCGUGGUUCAGUAGUACGAACCCAGCUAACAUCCUUGAGGAUGCGGGUUUGAUCCCUGGCCUUGCUCAGUGAGUUAAGUAUCUAGAAUUGCCUUGAGCUGCCCUGUAGGUGGCAGAUGCAGCUCGGAUCUGGUGUUAUUGUGACUGUGGUGUAGGCUGACAGCUGCAGCUCUGAUUUGACCCUUAGCCUGGGAACCUCCAUAUGCCACAGGUGUGGUGCUAAAAAGCAAAUAUAUAAAUAAAUAAAUAAAACAAUUAAAUCUUAUAAACAUAUAUAUGGCUGUGCAUCUUUUAGAUACAUUAUUAAAUUUGCCACUUUACUUGUUGCAUGUAGACCGGUUGACUCUACAGUUUACCUUACCUCCAUGAUCUGCCUGCAGGAUUGCUAAGGGAGAUGCUGGGGGAAGAGAGCUAGUCAUUUUUAUACUGCUUAAUUCUUUAUUCUUGCUUCUUUUUAUCUAGGAAAAGAAUCAACAGGUUAAUUAGGUUCUUUAAAGGUUAGAGGGGAACAGAAGAAGCCAAACAGGAAAGGGGCCAGAGAGCUGCUUUCAACAUGUUAACUUAAUAGUAUUUUGGAUAUAUUGAGUUAAAUAAAAUAUAUAAAUAAAGUUAAUUUCAUCUAUUUACUUUUACUUUUUUUGACCACACCUACAGCAUGUGGAAGAUCCUGGGCCAGGGACUGAACCCAUGCCACAGCAGUGACAAUGCCAGAUCCCCAACCCACUGCACCACCAGGGAAUUCCUGUGUUUACUUUUUUAAAUGUGGCUACUAAAACAUUGAAAAUUAUACUCAUAGUGGGCGCUCUAUUUCUGAUGGGCAGUCUUGCUCUGGACAGUCUUUUUUAUAGCAGGAAGAGCUUAGUUCACUGUGUCUGCACAUCCUGGGGAAGGGCAGGAGAAGGCCGAUGUGGGCAGUUCUCCCAGAAAAGGAAAACCUCAAGCCUAAAAGUCAAGAAAUCAUUCUUAUAAUGGGACACUGAAAUAUUUGUCUCGAACUGUUUGACUCCAAAAUCUGCUCCAAAGGCAUCAUUUUAUGAGGUUUUACUUUCUAGGUUUAACCAGGAAAGCUUAAUCCUCUGACACGUCUCCCAAUAAUUUACCCAAACUAUUUGAAAAGGAAUUUUCCAAUGUGGACAAAAACAGUAUGGUAUUUUUCCUUCUUGAAUAGAAUUUUAUGAAAUUUAUGGAAAUACUUCUAUGUUACUUUUUUUUUUUUUUAAUAGAGCAAAGUAACAGUAAGGCCGAAACUAUUUGUUUCAUACCCUGGCCUUUGUCCGUGUAUGCAGAAAAUGAAUACACAGACAGGAUAUUUUCAAUUACUCAUUUCCUUUGUUUACAUGUCACAUUGAGAUUCAUCGUGCUACCUCUUUCAGCCCUCUCAAGUCCCCCUCGUUUCUUCAGAACACAACUCCAAUCUCAAGCCUCAAGCCUUGUACCAAAUCCCAGAUGCUUUCUAGCAUGAAAGAGAAAUCACACGAAUAUUUACGUCCUUCCUGAUUUGCAGUUGCAAUUGGGUUUGAUUACAAAUCCCCAUCAAUUGUCCCCCAUCCUUCUGCUUCAGCUUCUCCCUCUCCUUCCUCCACGUGCGCGCGCGCACACACACACACACACACACACACACACCCCUUCCCUCCCUUCUUCUCUUUCUCUAGUGUUUCUGAUGAGCCAAGUGUUGGAAGCUCUCAGACUUUGUGCCCUCUAUGUUUAUAACUUUAAGUGUGUAUCCAGACAGUUUGCCUUGUUCUCAAAGAAAACCAGAGCUUGGAAUUUUGGGAAGCAAAUCUGGUAGGUUUGUGAGCUUGUUGAAAAUUUAGUAAACGGAAGCUUCUGAGAAAUGUGGGGUCAACAAAUUCAAAAGAAAAAAAAAAGGAGUUCCCGCCGUGGUGCAGUGGUUAACAAAUCCGACUGGGAACCAUGAGGAUGAGGGUUCACCAUUGCCAUGAGAUGUGGUGUAGGUCACAGAUGCAGCUCAGAUCUGGCAUUGCUGUGGUUGUGGUGUAGGCCAGUAGCUGUAGCUCCGAUUCGACCCCAGCCUGGGAACUUCCAU
rnacentral:lncRNA from 1 species